rnacentral:rRNA from 1 species
GGGUUGUGAGGUUAAGCGACUAAGCGUACACGGUGGAUGCCCUGGCAGUCAGAGGCGAUGAAGGGCGUGCUAAUCUGCGAUAAGCGCCGGUAAGGUGAUAUGAACCGUUAUAACCGGCGAUACCCGAAUGGGGAAACCCAGUGUGACUCGUCACACUAUCAUUAACUGAAUCCAUAGGUUAAUGAGGCGAACCGGGGGAACUGAAACAUCUAAGUACCCCGAGGAAAAGAAAUCAACCGAGAUUCCCCCAGUAGCGGCGAGCGAACGGGGAGGAGCCCAGAGCCUGAAUCAGCAUGUGUGUUAGUGGAAGCGUCUGGAAAGGCGCGCGAUACAGGGUGACAGCCCCGUACACAAAAGCGCAUGUGCUGUGAGCUCGAUGAGUAGGGCGGGACACGUGGUAUCCUGUCUGAAUAUGGGGGGACCAUCCUCCAAGGCUAAAUACUCCUGACUGACCGAUAGUGAACCAGUACCGUGAGGGAAAGGCGAAAAGAACCCCGGCGAGGGGAGUGAAAAAGAACCUGAAACCGUGUACGUACAAGCAGUGGGAGCACAGGUUUACCUGUGUGACUGCGUACCUUUUGUAUAAUGGGUCAGCGACUUAUAUUCUGUAGCAAGGUUAACCGAAUAGGGGAGCCGGAGGGAAACCGAGUCUUAAUUGGG